rnacentral:rRNA from 1 species
GACGAACGCUGGCGGCGUGCUUAACACAUGCAAGUCGAACGGAAAGGCCCUGCUUGCAGGGUACUCGAGUGGCGAACGGGUGAGUAACACGUGGGUGAUCUGCCCCGCACUUCGGGAUAAGCCUGGGAAACUGGGUCUAAUACCGGAUAGGAGCUAUUUUUAUUGUGAUGGUUGGAAAGUUUUUUCGGUGUAGGAUGAGUUCGCGGCCUAUCAGCUUGUUGGUGGGGUAAUGGCCUACCAAGGCGGCGACGGGUAGCCGGCCUGAGAGGGUGGACGGCCACAUUGGGACUGAGAUACGGCCCAGACUCCUACGGGAGGCAGAAGUGGGGAAUCUUGAACAAUGGGCGCAAGCCUGAUGCAGCGACGCCGCGUGGGGGAUGACGGCCUUCGGGUUGUAAACGCAUUUCGCUAGGGACGAUGCUUUUUGUGACGGUACCUAGAUAAGAAGCACCGGCUAACUACGUG